rnacentral:rRNA from 1 species
UACUGAGCGUAUUGGAACGUUAUCGAUAAGAAGAGAGCGUCUAGGCGAACAAUGUUCUUAAAGUUUGACCUCAAAUCAGGUAGGAGUACCCGCUGAACUUAAGCAUAUCAAUAAGCGGAGGAAAAGAAACCAACCGGGAUUGCCUUAGUAACGGCGAGUGAAGCGGCAAAAGCUCAAAUUUGAAAUCUGGUACCUUCGGUGCCCGAGUUGUAAUUUGGAGAGGGCAACUUUGGGGCCGUUCCUUGUCUAUGUUCCUUGGAACAGGACGUCAUAGAGGGUGAGAAUCCCGUGUGGCGAGGAGUGCGGUUCUUUGUAAAGUGCCUUCGAAGAGUCGAGUUGUUUGGGAAUGCAGCUCUAAGUGGGUGGUAAAUUCCAUCUAAAGCUAAAUAUUGGCGAGAGACCGAUAGCGAACAAGUACAGUGAUGGAAAGAUGAAAAGAACUUUGAAAAGAGAGUGAAAAAGUACGUGAAAUUGUUGAAAGGGAAGGGCAUUUGAUCAGACAUGGUGUUUUGUGCCCUCUGCUCCUUGUGGGUAGGGGAAUCUCGCAUUUCACUGGGCCAGCAUCAGUUUUGGUGGCAGGAUAAAUCCAUAGGAAUGUAGCUUGCCUCGGUAAGUAUUAUAGCCUGUGGGAAUACUGCCAGCUGGGACUGAGGACUGCGACGUAAGUCAAGGAUGCUGGCAUAAUGGUUAUAUGCCGCCCGUCUUGAAACACGGACCAAGGAGUCUAACGUCUAUGCGAGUGUUUGGGUGUAAAA